UAAAACCUAGAAAUCAAGCAAAAAAUUAAAAAAGAUAACACAAACAAACCCAUCAACCUCUUCCUAUUCUUCUUCUUCGAUCACAAUUCCAAAACCCAAUAACCCUUUGAGUUAUUCAACCCAAAAUCAUACCAAAUACAAAUGAAAAAAAAAAUAUAUAUAUAUAUAUCAAUUCAUUCAUAGGGGCGGCUGUUGAGAGGAGGGAGGAG
rnacentral:lncRNA from 1 species